rnacentral:rRNA from 1 species
UCGAGCGAAUGGAUUAAGAGCUUGCUCUUAUGAAGUUAGCGGCGGACGGGUGAGUAACACGUGGGUAACCUGCCCAUAAGACUGGGAUAACUCCGGGAAACCGGGGCUAAUACCGGAUAACAUUUUGAACCGCAUGGUUCGAAAUUGAAAGGCGGCUUCGGCUGUCACUUAUGGAUGGACCCGCGUCGCAUUAGCUAGUUGGUGAGGUAACGGCUCACCAAGGCAACGAUGCGUAGCCGACCUGAGAGGGUGAUCGGCCACACUGGGACUGAGACACGGCCCAGACUCCUACGGGAGGCAGCAGUAGGGAAUCUUCCGCAAUGGACGAAAGUCUGACGGAGCAACGCCGCGUGAGUGAUGAAGGCUUUCGGGUCGUAAAACUCUGUUGUUAGGGAAGAACAAGUGCUAGUUGAAUAAGCUGGCACCUUGACGGUACCUAACCAGAAAGCCACGGCUAACUACGUGCCAGCAGCCGCGGUAAUACGUAGGUGGCAAGCGUUAUCCGGAAUUAUUGGGCGUAAAGCGCGCGCAGGUGGUUUCUUAAGUCUGAUGUGAAAGCCCACGGCUCACCCGUGGAGGGUCAUUGUAAACUGGGAGACUUGAGUGCAGAAGAGGAAAGUGAAUUCCAUGUGUAGCGGUGAAUGCGUAGAGAUAUGGAGGACACCAGUGGCGAAGGCGACUUUCUGGUCUGUAACUGACACUGAGCGCGAAAGCGUGGGGAGCCAAACAGGAUUAGAUACUCUGCUAGUUCACGCCGUAAACGAUGACUGCUAAG